AGUUUUAUUUAACUGAUGUUUCUAACUAUUGCGGGCUUUGCGUAUGGGCUUGGGCUUCAUGAUGUUUUGACUUUUUAUGUGUCCAUUUUGAACUUUCUUCUUCAGGAAUUAGGGUUAGCCGUUCUCUGCGAUGAAUGAGCUCUAGCAACAAUUGUGAUCAAAUCGAGCAUCCAAAUCGUCCUCGAGAUCAAGCAGCCAUCGUUUCGUAUUUGGUACUUAACCCCAGACGUUAUGAGUUGUCUUCAUUCAUUGGCUUUAAGAGAUGUCUUAACUCCACCGACGAGAAUCAAGCACGACGUCUCAUACAAUGAUAUCAUCCAAUUCCAAGGCGGUUUCUUCAACUAUAAAAAGGGCUCUUCGAAUACAAUAAGCUUUCUCCGAUCCUCUUAUUCGUUGUACGACGAAUCGAUUAAAGAUGGCGAGCGAAAGCCCUGAAGUCGUUGUUGCUCCCGUUAUGGAGAAUGGUGGCGCUGAGUCCUCCUCCUCCUCCAAAGGGAAAGAGGAGGAACAAUUAGAGUCGGAGCUUUCGAAGAAGCUUGAGAUUACAGAGGAUGCAGUAGAAGAGAACGAAGAAGACGCAGAAGAAGAUGGAAGCAAAGGUGAGACAUCAACGAAGAAGAAGAAGAAAAAAAGAGUAAAAGCAAGAAGAAGCCUCAACAGACUGAUCCACCUACAAUCCCUGUCGUUAAGCUUUUUCCAUCUGGAGAGUUUCCUGAAGGUGAAAUCCAACAGUACAAGGAUGACAGUUUGUGGAGAACAACAUCUGAAGAGAAGAGAGAGUUGGAGCGUUUGGAGAAGCCUAUAUACAACUCUGUACGCCAGGCUGCCGAAGUUCAUCGCCAGGUAGAAAAUAUGUAAGAAGCAUAGUGAAGCCUGGAAUGUUGAUGACCGACAAAUGCGAGACACUUGAGGAUACUGUGAUAGGUUCCAGUUCGUAGGACGAGCAGAGCAAUUAAGAGAAUGGAAGCUUGAGGAAGAAGAAACAUAUGAGACAAAGAUGGUCAAGGUGGAUAGCAAAGACUCUGAAUGGAAUAGAGUCUUUGCUCAAGAAAACAAAAAAAAUCCCCAAUCAUGGCAACUUCAUCUGUUUUUCUUGGUGGUUUGAAGACUGGUCACUGCUCAUCCACUAUCCAUGUGCAAUUACUCUGAUUCUGGGAAGCUGAUUCUUGUGCUCUUUGAUAAAGAUCUCUUUUCACAUUCGGUAGGACCGUCUCCAGACUGGUUCACCGGUGCAGCCAGAACUUCAGGCUUUCAGACUCACUUCUGAAAAUCCGGUUCAGUGAUUCAACCAGUCUAGAUGUGCUAAUAUCCUGUUCCUGAAGAAUGUCAGGUUCGGUGAUCAUGAUUUGCUUCUUCGCCUAGCCAAUACCAAGCACGCAUCUUCCAGGCAUUAUAUUAUAGAUUAUGUAUUAACGUUGUUUUUAUUUCAAAAUAUUUUCUCUUAUGUAGUUUGGUAUGGUUUAUUAAAAGUCUAAAACUAUAAUAAAACAGAACCAACUUUUCAACAUAA